GAAGACAAGCUACCUAAAUGUGACUUAUCGACUAGUACUGAAGCAGGACAACAGAACAACAGCUGAAGGAAACCAUGAAGAGGAGCUUGGAGUGGGCAAGAGGGAGGCUGAUAGAACAGCAGAGAAGACCUGAUUCAUCAAGUAUCACAGUUAAUUCUGGUGAUUCUCACCUGGUUGGCAUGCACAACUCUGCAAGACACUUCAAUCAGAAUCUCUUAAUGUUUGACGUCAGGCAAAACCUUUUCAGCCACCGUAGGAUAGAGAGCCGCUGGUUGACAAUUUUGACUGCAGUGUCUGUGUGGGUGAAAAAUUCACUGGACCAAUUCCAGUUUGCCUGUUGUCCCAACAAAUUUGUCAAUUAUGCAUUUUACAUACGCCAGAGUGCGUUUUCUUUGAUAGCUCCACUUUCAACACCAUCCUGACCCACAAACUGGUUAGCAGACUCAGGCCUCUGUGUGAAAACCCUGUAAUAACAAAUUAGAUUUUUACAUUAUCACAAGAAUGUGUAUCCCCAGAAUGGACCCAACACCUAAACAUGCUGACGACACUACCAUUGUACACCUUAUCACCAGUGAUCAUGAGCACAUGGAGCUGUGGGACCUGACAUAAUGGACAACAGCUUCACCGUAAGCAAAACCAAGUAGAUGGUGAGACUUAAUGACCAUUUUCCCACCAGUGCUUCUCCACUACCCUCAUCAACUUGCUGCACCACAACCUGUGAAAAUUACAGUGUCUGUUUUUAUUGCCAACACAUGUAAAUUAAAUGUUGUCCAUAUUUACUGUAAGAUUUAUGGUAACAUUGCACAUAUUGUAACAUUAUAGUCCUUUUUCAUACAUGACUUAACUGCUUUGCAUAAUUCUCAGUUUACCGACUAAGAAAUCGUACAUUAAUUAAAAUAAAGCUGCAUUAUGUAUUACAACAACUGAUUCUGAUUGGUUGUAAUUUUUUGGAAAACUUUCACCACACAACUUCUUUUGCUGAUGGUCGAUCCUGUCGGAAACUUUAAUAUCAAACCUUUUGGGACACAUAACCAAUUAACAUUGGCUGCAGUAUUCUGAACUUUACUA
rnacentral:lncRNA from 1 species